GACGAACGCUGGCGGCGUGCUUAACACAUGCAAGUCGAACGGAAAGGCCACGUCUUUGUGGGGUGCUCGAGUGGCGAACGGGUGAGUAACACGUGAGUAACCUGCCCCUGACUUUGGGAUAACUUCAGGAAACUGGGGCUAAUACCGGAUAGGAGCUCCUGCUGCAUGGUGGGGGUUGGAAAGUUUCGGCGGUUGGGGAUGGGCUCGCGGCUUAUCAGCUUGUUGGUGGGGUAGUGGCUUACCAUGGCUUUGACGGGUAGCCGGCCUGAGAGGGUGACCGGCCACAUUGGGACUGAGACACGGCCCAGACUCCUACGGGAGGCAGCAGUGGGGAAUAUUGCACAAUGGGCGGAAGCCUGAUGCAGCAACGCCGCGUGCGGGAUGACGGCCUUCGGGUUGUAAACCUCUUUCGGCAGUGACGAAGCGUGAGUGACGGUAGUUAGUGAAGAAGCACCGGCUAACUACGUG
rnacentral:rRNA from 1 species